rnacentral:tRNA from 1 species
GUCCCUGUAGCGCAAUGGAUAGCGCGUUGGACUUCUAAUCCAAAGGUGGGUUCGAAUCCCACCUAGGAUG